UAACUACUCCCUCCGUUCCAAAAUAGAUGACCCAACUUUGUACUAAAUUAGUACAAAGUUGGGUCAUCUAUUUUGGAACGGAGGGAGUAGAUG
rnacentral:pre_miRNA from 1 species